rnacentral:rRNA from 1 species
GGUAAACCUGAGAAACCCAAAAGUUCGAAUGGAGAGAUUCAUCGUCAGCGAUCCUGGCAAUUGUGCGGUUCGCGAUGUCGGAGACUUCGGUCUCGCGGCACGCGUCCGUAUGAUUUAUUUGCCGGGUGUCGUCGUCGUGCACUUCUCCCCUAGUAGGACGUCGCGACCCGUUGGGUGUCGGUCUACGACCCGGGUGGGCGCCCGUCAUGUGUCACGCUUUACGGCGUCAUGUGGCAGACCCCCGGUUGUCUGACCAGCUGCCCGGCGGUACUCGCACGGUAUCGAGUCGCAAUUAUAUUGCGUCCGGCCCGCCGCAAGCGAGGCCAGUGUUCCCGGAUGCACGGACUUAGUGCCGUCACCGGGCCUGGCCAGCUGUUGGCCGGCGGUGUCCUAGGACUGGCUCAUAAUAUAUACCGGUCGGCGACGCUACUGCUUUGGGUACUUUCAGGACCCGUCUUGAAACACGGACCAAGGAGUCUAACAUGUGCGCGAGUCAUUGGGAUCUGUUAAGCCUAAAGGCGCAAUGAAAGUGAAGGUAGGCCUUGCGCCAACCGAGGGAGGAUGGGCCGCGUCACGAUGCGGUCCCGCACUCCCGGGGCGUCUCGUUCUCAUUGCGAGAAGAGGCGCACCCAGAGCGUACACGUUGGGACCCGAAAGAUGGUGAACUAUGCCUGGUCAGGACGAAGUCAGGGGAAACCCUGAUGGAGGUCCGUAGCGAUUCUGACGUGCAAAUCGAUCGUCGGAACUGGGUAUAGGGGCGAAAGACUAAUCGAACC